GCGGUGAUGCACGCGUGGCCGAGUGGCAGUGUGUUUGCCUGCCACUCUGAAGGUCACUGGUUCAAAACCAAUGAAGACACAAACCCAUGUCCUGAAGAUAUCCGUGCUAGCAUGAUUAGUCUUUCCGAGGUUUUUUGUUGAAAUUUUCCCCUAAUUUUUCAAUUUCCAGACGAAAUCCGCACGGGA
ensembl:ncRNA T28D6.15 ncRNA